GGAAAGUGUAGAGUGUUAUUACCGUAGCAGGUCAUAUGGGUUGGGUGUUAUUACCGUAGCAGGUCAUAUGGGUUGGGUGUUAUUACCGUAGCAGGUCAUAUGGGUUGGGGAAAGUGUAGAGUGUUAUUACUGUAGCAGGUCAUAUGGGUUGAGUGUUAUUACCGUAGCAGGUCAUAUGGGUUGGGUGUUAUUACCG